GCUCGCGUAGCUCAAUUGGAUAGAGCGCUGCCCUCCGAAGGCAGAGGUUACAGGUUCGACCCCUGUCGCGAGUA
rnacentral:tRNA from 1 species